rnacentral:lncRNA from 1 species
GCAUAAAGUUCGAACAUGAGCCAAAGAAUGUCUUUGAGGUUGUAAGGUGAGAGUUGAAACUUGUCCAUGCAGAGCAUUAUUCAAGUUUGCUGAACAAAUUAAUGAAUACAGAUAAAUUUCUAGAACACCACCAUUUUUUCUAUGCAGGUGCAAAUGGUGGGAUCUUGUCUGCAUUAAUUAUUGACUCUGUAAACAUAUAAUGAUUCUUGAUGAUG